rnacentral:lncRNA from 1 species
UAGACGUUACAAAGAACCUCGAACAAUCCAAACUGCUAAUCUUCGAUACCGCUUUACACUCACGAUCUUGUAUCCACUGACUGUCUUGUUAGAUUAACCCAAUAAAUUUCAUUCACUCCGCAUACUCAAUCCUAUAGAUACCUUUUUAAUUCUUCAUCAUAGAUGUUACUUGAUUUCACAAAACAGUCAAGAGUAAUCAUAUCCACUUCAUUAAAAUCCCGAUUCACCAGUCCAACACUGACUUCAACAACGAUUGUCUCAGUCUUCCCAAAACCCUAUGAAUAAAAAAAAAUCCCAAUUCUCUGUCUUUUUUCCCCACUCCGAAGCAUGAAACUCUUUCCGACCCCUUCUAAAAAACUUAUUCCCUCCCUCCUUCAUUUCUUAACCUAUCCUCCCCUUUAACCCUAAUUCUCCCCUCUUUCAAAUCCUAGCCUCUGAAUUUCUUCAAUCUUCCGUCUUGGAUCUAAAAUUGGCUCCCGCAGUCAGAGCUUUUUCCUCCAUUUUUACCUUUAAGAGAUCCUUUUAUCAAAAGGACGUUCCCAGAACAGCACAAAGGACGGAACAGCUUGAAACAAAAUUGGAGCCCCGUAAUCAGGACCACAUUAAGUCGCCCGACCAAUUCAGGUCUCAUAUUGGGUAAGAGGCCCGUAUUAAGACUUGAAUAUUCUUGCAAUUGGAUCGCAUUAGAUUGCUCGACCAAGUCAGGUCUCAUAUAGGAUAAGACGACCCAGAUUAAAUGUCUUGAAGUUGGAUCCAAUUGGCUCUUCUAACUAGACUCACCCGUCGUUGAAUUGGUCCUUUUCCUUUCUGCUGACUCUCGUUAUUGGAAUCGAACGGAGCAUUUCAGUAUGCCCUGGCUGACUGUAGUAGGGUGACUGACCCUGACCUCUCAGUAUUUGCACUGGAAUUGGUCAUUGCUCCCAAUAUUCGAGGUAACUGAACAUUAAUAAAAGUCCCCUUUCUUUAUAUUUUACGGUAUACUCAUGUUACAACAUGACAUCCACCCCCUCUGAACCUGUGCAUCCUCCGGUAAGCACCAAUUUACCCAAUUGCUGUUUAAUUUAUAAUAUAUUCUCUACGUCUUUGUCCAGUUCGUCUUCAUCACCUUCAUUAUCCAAAUCACUUUCAUCUUUUUGUUGUGUACCUAACUUGCAUAAUACUCCUUUAAUAUUAUAUAAUCUUUUUCUUUCUUUUCUUUUAAAAUCAUCAACUUUCUUAUACAUAAUAUUUUCAUUCUCCAAAAUAUCAAUAAAACUCACAUCAAAGGCACCUUUAUUUCGCGAGAAUACCUCCUCUUUUGUACCUACAUAAUCUCGCUUUAUAGUGGUACCUCCCCAAAAUCCUUAAAUCCUUCAACAAUCUUUGGCAAUGGUUUCUCCCUCAACCUAUCUCGAUUCCGUUCAUGGUUAGGAGGUAUUGUUAGAAAUUGUAUAGCUUUCCUCCCAUCUUCGCUCCGUACCCUUGCAUAAGCAAAACCAUCGUCAAGUACUUUUAUUUCCAUCCGUGUUGCCGUAAUAUAAGGUUGUCCUAAAAUCAAUGGAUAAGACGUUGUAUCUUGAACAAAGAAAUGUUGCUCCAUCGCAACAUCCCCAAUCCGAAUUUUGACAUCUUGACAAGCUCCAUAUAAUUCGCCCCGUGUGUUAUUAGUUGCUCGUAUUACCCAUCCAUGUUCCAUAUCAAUUGGCCAUUUUUGCUUCUUAUAAAGAUCUUUAGACAUGAGAUUUAUUUCAGAACCAUGGUCGACCAAAGCAACUAUUAGUUCAUCUAUAUCUGCUACCUUCACCAAUACCUCAGUAGUUGCCCUUGCCCAAUGCUUUCGAGUAUAAUGGCUCAAAGUUUCCAUUUCCUUGUCACUAGAAUCUUCGAAACGUACUUGCUGAUUAUAUCCAUUCUUUUCAUUUGUUGGUUACUUGUAACCAAUAUCAACCUCUUCUUCAUCUCUACAUAUUCUUGCAUCAAUAGCAUGACUCAUUCCACUUUCACCCAUUAAUUGCCUCUUUCGCUUAAUGCUGUCAAUGAUAACAUCAUGAAACUCCUUCUUUACAAUUUCAAAAACUUCUUUUAAUGUGAAUUUUACCUUAGCAUUUAAUAUACGUUCUUCCAACACCCCUUUCAAAUUUGUUGCCACUUCAAUGUCAGAAAGUAGCUUUUAAGCAAUUGAUUUGUCCUUAUCUUUUGUCUCUCUUGUUUUUUCUUCCAAUGAUGGUGAGGUAUCCUUUAUAGGCAAUUCUUGUGAAGCUGCCUCCCGAACCUUGGCUCCUCAAGUUUACCUCUUAGAAGAAUUUCCUUCUCUCGUAUCAUCAAAAUUUCCUCGUCUCUUUUCUUUCAUCAAAGCUUCAUGUUGGCUCUUAGCAAUAUAUGCAUGAACUGAAAGAGACUCAACAGGAUCAUCCCAACCUGUUGCACCUCGUAUUGUAGCUGCAGUUCUCAAUAACGCUUCUCGAGGUAAUUUCCCUUCUUGCAUUGUAGAAACGGCAGAAGCCCAAAACUCACUAGUUUUUGUACUUCCACCAAAGUCUUCAUCUACUCUAGCACCAUACCUUGCACUUUCUCGUGUUACUGUUUCACGCUCUUUUAAGUAAUCUUGAACCAAUGCUCUCAUUCCUCCUUUGCCAAAAUUGAUUUGAAGAAGAUCCUCUCUAUCUUUUAAUGCUAUCUUCCCAUCUUUUUAGCAAAUAAUUCCUUGUCGUAUCAUAUUAUUAAAUUCAUUGCAAUCUUUUCUAGUGUGUGAAGCAUCAUCACACCAAAUGAAUCUUUGUACAUAUCCUUGUUUUGAAACAUUCUUCGAAUUGUUUGUAGAAGUAUUCUCUUCAAGUCUUGCCAAUUUGAUUUAAAGAUCUCGCAUUCCUCAUAUAAUUUCUUCCAUCCCCAUAUCUGCCUUCUUUGAUAAGGAUGUCGAAGGUUGAACUGUAGGCAUUGUUGGUGGUGUUGUAUGUACUGGAGCUUUGGGUGCUUAUACUGUUUUUGGAAUAUUACUCCUAUCCUUCCUCCUUUCUCUUUUUGUAAGCAACCCCACUGCAUCUUCAACGUUCUUUCACUUUGUUGUCAAUCUUCAUCUUCUUCUUUGUCUUCAAGAAGGAGUUCUAGUUUUCCUUGCAAUUCUCCAUCAACAGCUUGAAGAAAUAGAUCAACUUUGUUUGGCUCCAAUGUCAAUUUUUCUACCUUCGAUAAUUGAGAGUACUGCCUCUCAAAUUCCCUUAGUAGCUCUGUUGCUUGCAAAUUCUUAUUAGGUCGUUCAAUCCAUUCCAGAAACAACUUCUUAGUAAUGUGAUCAGCAUCUUCCAAGAAAUAUUCAUCUUUCAAUGCAUGUGAAAAAACCUCCUAUGAAUUCCCAUAACGAUCCGUAAUUGAUAUAAUAUGGUCUUUUAUCUUCGGUAUCGUGGGAAGUCCAAAUAAUUCAACCAUUUUCUUCUCAAAAACCCGAUUUAAUUCCAUUUCAUGAACAUAACAUCCUAAAUACCUUGAAAUAUUCCUUCCAUCAAAUUGAUCAAUUUUAUUGACCACUGCUUGCAAUGCUUUGGUUGCCAAAGCUUCCUUUCGAUCAUUGCUUUGCUGUUGCUACAUUGAUAAUGAGAAGGCUUGAAACAUACUAGCAAUAGAUUGAUCCAUGUGCAUAUCUUGUCCUUUAGAAGAACCCCCACCAGAAACUCCUCCCAAACAUCCUUCAAAAUUUUUAUUUUUGUUUUCCAUAAAAAUAAAAAUAAAAACAAACGCAAUCCAAUACCUUCCACCUCAAGCUUUCACGUCGAGUUCACCACUUUAUGUUGUCUUACAUGCUUUCCUGCUUGAGAACACGCUGGGCGUCUGGCUGUAGAAGGUAGUAUGGAGAUUCUCUAAUAUUCAAGCAGUCUAUCGGUUUUUGACUGUUGGAAUAUAAACAACUGCAAGAAUAUACCGUAAAUCUAUAUGGAUGUCCUUUGACUGCUCCCCGAAAUCCUUUUCGCCCCAACCGGUAGGUCUCUAGACAUUAUAGAGAACCCCGAACAACCCAAACUCCUAAUCUUCGAUAUCGCUUUAUACUCACGAUCUUGUAUCCACUGACUGUCUCGUUAGAUUAACCCAAUAAAUUUCAUUCACUCUGCAUACUCAAUCCUAUAGACAUCCUUUUAAUUCUUCAUCACAGAUGUAACUUGAUUUCACAAAACAGUCAAGAAUAAUCAUACCCACUUCAUUAAAAUCCCGAUUCACCAGUCCAACACUGACUUCAACAACGAUUGCCUCAAUCUUCCCAAAACCCUAUGAAAAAAAAAAAAUCCCAAUUCUCUGUCUUUUUUCCCUGCCCCGAAGCAUGAAACUCUCUCCGACCCCUUCUAAAAAACUUAUUCCCUCCCCCCUUCAUUUCUUAACCUAUCCUCCCCUUUAACUCUAAU